GACAGAGGAUGCAAGCGUUAUCCGGAAUUAUUGGGCGUAAAGCGUCUGUAGGUGGCUUUUUAAGUCUGCCGUCAAAUCCCCGGGCUUAACCUGGGAAUGGCGUUUGGGACUGGAAGUCUGGAGUGCGGCAGAGGAGACUGGAAUUCCUGGUGUAGCAGUGAAAUGCGUAGAUAUCAGGAGGAACACCGAUGGCGAAGGCAGGUCUCUGGGCCGAUACUGACGCUGAGGAGCGAAAGCGUGGGGAGCGAACAGG
rnacentral:rRNA from 1 species